rnacentral:lncRNA from 10 species
CUUUUCCAUGAAGGUCCCCAAUUGGGCAGUGCCCUGAAAUCACUUCUAAUGCUGAUGCUAGGCAACACCUCAGACCUACUGCUCAGACCCUCCAGGGGCAGGGCCCAGGAUUGAAGAGGGAAGCCCUGCUCCACACGUGUUCAUCAGGAAGGACCCACAGACUGCUGCUCCUGGAGGCCUCUCGGUUUAUGGAUGUGUGUUUGUUCCAUAAACCCUCAGAGGGUCACCUGGAGACCCGCUAAAAUGCAGGUUCUUGGGCCACAUCCUAGACCUUCUGACCGACCCAGGGAGUGGGGCCCAGGAAGCUGCAUUUGACAGAUAUCCCCGUGUGAUCAUCAUGCACACAGGAGUGAGAGAACCAGUGUUCUCCCCGGGCAGAAGGGAAGCUCGUGUGCAGGACACCUCACACCUCCUUUCCCAUUCCCCUGCCAGGCUCUCCCUGCUGACAUUGUUUUUGCGGGAGAGCUGUGAAUUCUGAAGAUUAGGUUGCUUCUCACCCCAAGCUCCAGAAGUCCAGGCUGAGCCAAACCAAGCUUCAAGUUAACAAGUCAAAUGACAAAAACAAAACACCAGGCUGAAAUCAUAGGCUUCUACAAGCAGGUGCCUGGACUUGGAGAACCAGGAGGUGAGGGGACUGACUACUUGAAGAUCACAUGGAGGAGGAGUCUGAUCCAGGCCCAGAAUAUCGUGACUUGACCAAAGGCUUGAGUCUUCUUUGCUCCCUCCUGCUAGGUGUGGAAGCAGAUAUCCCCUCCAUGGCUGGGCACCAAGGAAAGGCCAUGCAAGGACACAGGGAGAAGGGCAGCUGUCUGUAAGCCAGAAAGAGCCUUCACUAGAAACCAAAUCAGCCAGAACCUUCAUCUUGGACUUUCCAGCCUUCAGAGAUGUGAAAAAAUAAAUUUCUGUUGAUUAACC